CUUUACCAUUCAGUGAUAACAAGCAGUUUUUUUACAUCUUAAUAUUUUAUGAUGUAUUUAAAUGAGUAGUUAUUGUUGCAAACUCCAUUAGAAAUUUUAAUUGAGAUUAGUUUUGGAAUAAGGGAAAGGGGGAUGUGAUUAAAAAAAUUGGGUUCAAUUUUUCUCAUUUGAAAUUUCAUAAAUAAAAAAGAAAAUUUCAUCAAACAUUUUUUUGAGAGGAUUAAUAUUCAACAGCAUAGUGAAUUGCUCUAAGAGAAAACAAAAAUUUUAAGUUCAUUAUAACACAUUCAUUCUGUGUCAGAAACCUAUGCUGUGUCAACUAUUUAAUCACAAUCCAAAUUUAGAGCUGAAUCCAGCUUGAAUGUUGUGUCCAUACUUGCCCCAACCGUUCAGGGUUCAACCUCUGCGGUCGUAUAAAGCUACGCCCUGCGGAGCAUCUGGUUUUUUUUGCCAAGUUACUCAUCCUGCCUUUUUUUUCAAAUUUCAUCCUAGCCCCCCCCCCCCUAAAAAUCAAAUGGUAGCUCCCUUAAAUAUUUUUAGAGAACAGUUGACACCUACUGUUCUCUACAAUACAAUAUAGAACAGUAAACCUAGUAGUUGUGUAAAUAGUUUUAACCACAUGUCAUGUUAAUAUUUGUUUAUUUUUUGGCACUAUUCUUUUGUAAAUAUUCAUUUAUUAUUAUCCUACGAAUGCGCAGCAGUUAGUAAUCAUCAAAAAUCUGAUGGAUAACUGGAUACCAUAAGAAGAAGAUUUGUAAUUUAACAGGUCCUUUCCCAAAAAUGGCUGUUUCUUCAGUUUGAAAAUACUGAUUUUUCUGGAAUUUUUUUUUUUUGAACUAUUAGGUUUGGCGGCUACCUUCUUUACAUCACAUAUUUAUUAAAAAUGAAUAUUUGAUAUAUAUCCAGUAUUUGCGCAUGCGCGAAAAUGUUACAAAAUUCUUUCAAAAAUAUUUGAACUAUUUACUAUAAAUUUAGUGUUUUUCCGACGUAGUCGGUAUAGUUUCGGUGUGUGCCCUUUGAACUUAAUGACGCUUAACUAUGGCAACAGAAUACGCAUGCUCGAAAAUCCUUUCUGUGAUUGGACAAAAUGCUGUCAUGUUGGUGAUUUGGUUGUGUUCAAGUUGAAAAAACGUCUUGUUAAUUAUAUCGUGAUGGAAAGCUAGUGAAAAACUAUAAAUAUUUGAACUAGAUCUUACAAAGAUUUAUAUUUAAUUAAAAUAAUUGUUUCUCCAAUAGCUCUUUGCAUCCAUGACAGCUGUUUAUUCGGGACAAUUAUAUAAUUUUUAAUGUAAACUUUGUUACAUACGAACGUACAUGACUUUUAGAAUGCAAGCAUGUGAGAUUUCCGCGGGGUUUUGGUGUAAACAGAAAGAUACGAGGACAGAGAAUACUGAAGAUUUAAUUAAAGAGGUCCUGCAUCAUUAAGUCAUUGUGCUUCUGAAGGUUAUCGAAAUGAUAGUUUUAAACAUACUCAAAUUUAAAUACGUCGGAUAUCUUUUUAGCUCACCUGGCCCGAAGGGCCAAGUGAGCUUUUCUCAUCACUUGGCGUCCGGCGUCCG
rnacentral:lncRNA from 1 species